GUGUCAGCAGCCGCGGUAAUACAGAGGUGGCAAGCGUUGUUCGGAAUUACUGGGCGUAAAGGGCGCGUAGGCGGUCUUUUAAGUCUUGUGUGAAAUCCCUCGGCUCAACUGAGGAACUGCACGGGAUACUGGAAGACUUGAGUUCGGGAGAGGGAAGCGGAAUUCCGGGUGUAGCGGUGAAAUGCGUAGAUAUCCGGAGGAACACCGGUGGCGAAGGCGGCUUCCUGGACCGAUUACUGACGCUGAGGCGCGAAAGCUAGGGGAGCAAACGGGAUUAGAUACCCCCGUAGUCC
rnacentral:rRNA from 1 species